rnacentral:rRNA from 1 species
UUCCAGACUCCUACGGGAGGCAGCAGUGGGGGAUAUUGCACAAUGGGGGAAACCCUGAUGCAGCGACGCCGCGUGAGUGAAGAAGUAUUUCGGUAUGUAAAGCUCUAUCAGCAGGGACGAAAAUGACGGUACCUGAGUAAGAAGCCCCGGCUAACUACGUGCCAGCAGCCGCGGUAAUACGUAGGGGGCAAGCGUUAUCCGGAUUUACUGGGUGUAAAGGGAGCGUAGACGGCUGUGCAAGCCAGAUGUGAAAGCCCGGGGCUCAACCCCGGGACUGCAUUUGGAACUGUGUAGCUGGAGUGUCGGAGAGGCAGGCGGAAUUCCUAGUGUAGCGGUGAAAUGCGUAGAUAUUAGGAGGAACACCAGUGGCGAAGGCGGCCUGCUGGACGAUGACUGACGUUGAGGCUCGAAAGCGUGGGGAGCAAACAGGAUUAGGUACCCCUGUAA